CCCACCCCGGCCUCGCCUCC
rnacentral:miRNA from 1 species